rnacentral:rRNA from 1 species
AGAGUUUGAUCAUGGCUACAGGAAUGAACGCGUAGCGGGGAGGCCUAACACAUGCAAGCCGAGCGGUAGAGAUUCUUCGGAAUCUUGAGAGCGGCGUACGGGUGCGGAAACACGUGUGCAACCUACCUUUAUCUGGAGGAUAGCCUUUCGAAAGGAAGAUUAAUACUCCAUAAUAUAUUGAUUGGCAUCAAUUGAUAUUGAAAGCUCCGGCGGAUAGAGAUGGGCACGCGCAAGAUUAGUUAGUUGGUGAGGUAACGGCUCACCAAGACGAUGAUCUUUAGGGGCCUGAGAGGGUGAUCCCCCACACUGGUACUGAGACACGGACCAGACUCCUACGGGAGGCAGCAGUGAGGAAUAUUGGUCAAUGGGUGCAAGCCUGAACCAGCCAUCCCGCGUGAAGGACGACUGCCCUAUGGGUUGUAAACUUCUUUUGUAUAGGGAUAAACCUACCCUCGUGAGGGUAGCUGAAGGUACUAUACGAAUAAGCACCGGCUAACUCCGUG